rnacentral:lncRNA from 1 species
AUGCAACAUUUAUUGGAUGCCAACCGCCGUUAAACCUAAUCGAAAAAGAGAUAUCGCUUAUUAUCGCAUCAGUACAAACUUUGUAAGUGUAUACAUUAAACGUGUCACUAAUUUUGGAACGCUCAACUCGUCAUAGCCCCGCCUCCUCAGUUCCGGCAUUUUGGCUCCGGAAGUACAGUAAUUUUUUUGGUUCACAGGAAAAGGAAAAAAAAACUGCUGUUGGGAAACAAAACAGCAAAAAUGCCUGCCCCAAAAAGACACGAGUCUUUUCAGGAUCCUCAAGCAAAGAGAAGAAAGAUGGAUCAGAAUGAAGUCGCCAUGCCAUCCAACAAAACGACACCAGCCUCUGCAACGUCAAGCAACCCCCAAAGAGAAGCACCUUUGCAGAGAAGGAAUAAGAAAAAGGCCCCUGCAGAACUAAAAGAGGGAAAUAAACCUGCAGGGUCCAGCCGCCAUUCCUCCAAGACAAAAUCAACCCAAAAGGCCAGGACUAGGACCAAGUUCAAUCCACCUGUAAAGAACACCAAGCUGCUGAAAGCCACAAGUGCCUCCUCAAAGAAUCCCAACUCUAAAGGAACCCUAAAAAGACCAGCCAAGAUCUUCAAAAUUGCUUCCACAGAGUCUGAUGAGGAGCUUAUCAGAACUCAUAAACCCCAUUGCAUCAGAAAAUACUCUAAUGGGGAUAGAGGUAAGCGUAAAGGGUCACAGUCUAACCUGAAUGAAGAAGUAUUGCUCUCAGACCCUGUGCAGAGGGAUCACAAUUAUGGUAUACCCUCUGCGUCUUGUGGUAGUCAUUCUGAAAUUGAGGAAAAUAAAAGGAAAAGAGUCAGAGAGUCCACCAGAGGCCCAGAGACCCUGAGAGAUGUGAAGAUGGAAACUCAAAUAUCUUCAGGACCCUUACCUGAACAAUCUGGACAGAUGAAGCGGAGCAGUGAGACACAUGAGAUGCAGGAUAAUUCCAUUACCACCCCAACAGAUGAAUUUAGUGAGAGUGUCAAUACCAAGCCAGACACAGAAAUGUCUCCUCCAGCAUCCCCUGAGAAAGCUUCAGACCCCAUCCAUAAACAGGUGAACCAGAAUAAUUCCAUGACUACCCCAACAGAUGAAGUUAGUGAGAGUUUUGAGACCAAGACUGACACAGAAAUGUAUCCUCCAGCAUCCCCUGAGAAAGCUUCAGACCCCAUCCAUAAGCGGGUGAACCAGAAUAAUUCCAUGACUACCCCAACAGAUGAAGUUAGUGAGAGUUUUGAGACCAAGACUGACACAGAAAUGUAUCCUCCAGCAUCCCCUGAGGAAGCUUCAGACCCCAUCCAUAAACAGGUGAACCAGAGUAGUGAGACACAUGAGGAGCAGAACGAUUCCAUGACCAUCCCUACAUAUCAAGUUAGUGAGAGUGUAGAGAGCAAGAUUGAUGCAUAUAAAAAGUCUGCAGACCCCAUACCUGAACUACUAAAACAGAGCACUGAGACACAGGUUAUGCAGGAAAACUCCAUGACCACCCAUACAGAUCAAGUUAAUGAACAUUUAGAGACUAAGAUCGGUGCAAAAAUAUUGUCUCCUCCAGCCAUAGGCUUAGUAGCAUAUAGUAGCAGUAGUGAUUCUGAAUGUGAAAGUGAGGGAAAUGACAGGACGGGAGUCACAGAGUCAAUAGAUAUGAAGAUGAAAACUCAAGCAUCUUCAGAGAAGGCUUCAGACCCUGUCUCUGAACAGGUGAAGGAGAGCAGUGAGACGAGGCAGAUGCAGGAGGAUUCCAUGACCACCCCUACAUAUGAAGUUACCGAGGAUUCCAUGGCCUCCCCUACAUACCAAGAAGUUACCGAGGAUUCCAUGACCACCCCUAGUGAGAGUGUAGACGCCAAGCUUGACGCAAAUAUAAAGCCUCCAUCUAUAGAAGUAUAUUCAGAGGAGGCUUCAGACCCUGUCCCUGAACAGGUGAAUCCUGAACAGGUGAAUCAGAUAUACAUUGAAAUAGAGAAGGUGCAGGAAGAUUCCAUGACCACCCCAACAGAUGAAGUAAGUGAAUGUUUAGAUGGCACGCUUGAUGCAGAAAUAAUGUCCCUUCCACCUUUAGAAGCAUCCUCUGAGGAGACCCAUACAUUUGAAGUUAGUGAGAAUGUAGAGACCAAGUGUUCAGAACUUGCACCUGAACAUGUGACGCAGAGCACUGAGACACAGGAGAUGCAGGGAGAUUCCACGCCAGCUCAUGCAGAUCAAGUGCUGCAGAGCAGUGAGACACAGGAAGUCCAGGAAGAUUCCAUGACCACCCCUACAGAUGAACUUAGGGAAAGUUUAGGAACAAAGUCGGGUGCUAAAAUAAAGUCUCCACCCCUAGAGGUGCUUUUCAGUGCUCUAAAGGAGUCCAAUCUUUGCAAACAUCCACUGUCUCAUACGAUGCGCUCAAAUGUUAAAGAGUUUCUGGGAGUAGAGGAUUCUUUAGAAAUCACACAAAAAGACUGGGAGUUUGGUGUAACAGAGAGCAUUGAGUGUACUUUAGACCUGGAGACCCCGAUUAUUGUCGAGGAUAUGGAGAUCGGCCACUGUGUUGUGGAGGUGGUGGGAGAGAAUGGAGAUGAGGUGGACAGUGAUCUGGAAAUCAUAGACAUCUCUGAGAGGCCAGAGAACACACUUGAGCUAACCAAAGGGUCUGAAGAAGAGUGCAGUGUGGAUAAAAGUGAAGAUGGUAUUGAAAAGAAAGGCACAAGUUCCUCUAACCAAGACAGCACAAAUAGUGGUAAGAAGGAAGCUACUAAAAAAACACAGGGUAGCCUGGAAAAACCCAAGAAACAGCAGAUGAACCCUCAGGCCCGGACCAAAGCCCGACUAGCAGCACUAGCUGAGCAAAAGGCAGCCGCCUCCAAAAAAGCGAGCAGGCAGCUCAACCUCCUGGCCCUAUGUGAAGAAAUAGCAGAUGAUAUCGCCACUGACACAAUGUUAAUAAAGACGAAGGAGGAGGAGGAGCAGGUUGUAACAGUUAAGGCUGAACCCAGCAAGGAGCCAGAAUGCACACCGCCUGUCACACAGGCUGAGACUGUUCCUAUACCUCCAACUCCUGCCGGGCCCGAGGAACCCUCUCCAGCAGUAGAACCCUCCGCUGAGGAGCCUGCUCCAGCCAAGCCCCCAGCUCCAGAGCCAUCUCAGAGGCGUUUCUUCAUCAGCCAAGUGACAGUACCCCUCAAAAUCCACGAGAAGAAGAAGCUUACCAGGUUCCAGAGGCUGCGGCAGGUGGAGCUACAGCGGGAGAAGAAUAUGUCCUGGACCAUGGUGAAGAAGCUCAAGUCCGAUCAGAAGAUGAUUCCAGAGACUGAGACUAAACCUUCCCCUCCAGCAGCAGUACCUGUCCAAGUGACCACACCCCCACCCCCCUCAGCCAGUCCAGCAGCACCCACAGUAGCUGCACUCUCCCCAACCAUUCCAGAAGUAACCCCAAAAGUUGAGCCCCCAAAAGUUGAGCUCCCCAAAGUGACCCCCAGUAAGGGACCCACCCUGAGAAAGAGGACGCUUCCAGCAGAACCCCCACCGAUGCCCAACGGGCUGAAAGCUCAGAAGGCCAAGCCUGUGGUGGAGUAUAAGCCUUACAAAUCCAGGCCCAAGUACUCCUUUGAUGACUUUGAAUGUGAUGACGAGCCGAAACCCACAGUGCAGAAGGCAGCAGUGAGACCUACAGCUACCACUAUUCAGAGGGCAGCAGUGACACCUACCACUAUUCAGAGGGCAGCAGUGACACCUACCGCCGUUCAGAGGGCAGCAGUGACACCUACCGCCGUUCAGAGGGCAGCAGUGACACCUACCGCCGUUCAGAGGGCAGCAGUGACACCUACCGCCGUUCAGAGGGCAGCAGUGACACCUAC